CUGUACUCUUAUCUCACUUAUUUAACAAAAGAGAAUCCAUCAUCUUCUUUGUGCUCUAUAACUGAAUAGAAGCCUGAGUACAAGUCUGCUUAGGUUUUGCCAUGGCUAAUGUGACGCGGUAAUCCGCGAUAUUGUAGCUAAGAAGUGAGAACACCCUAACUCAGACCUAGUUUGUUCUUAUUAAUUUAUAUAAGGCAUGUUUCGCGGCCCACAAAUG
rnacentral:lncRNA from 1 species